rnacentral:rRNA from 1 species
CCUACGGGAGGCAGCAGUGAGGAAUAUUGGUCAAUGGACGAGAGUCUGAACCAGCCAAGUAGCGUGAAGGAUGACUGCCCUAUGGGUUGUAAACUUCUUUUAUAUGGGAAUAAAAUGUUCCACGUGUGGGAUUUUGUAUGUACCAUAUGAAUAAGGAUCGGCUAACUCCGUGCCAGCAGCCGCGGUAAUACGGAGGAUCCGAGCGUUAUCCGGAUUUAUUGGGUUUAAAGGGAGCGUAGGUGGAUUGUUAAGUCAGUUGUGAAAGUUUGCGGCUCAACCGUAAAAUUGCAGUUGAAACUGGCAGUCUUGAGUACAGUAGAGGUAGGCGGAAUUCGUGAUGUAGCGGUGAAAUGCUUAGAUAUCACGAAGAACUCCGAUAGCGAAGGCAGUUCACUGGACUGCAACUGACACUGAGGCUCGAGAGUGUGGGUAUCAAACAGGAUUAGAUACCCCUGUAGUC